rnacentral:tRNA from 1 species
GCGGGGUUGUGGCUCAGUGGUAAAGCGUUCACCUAGCAUGUGCAAGGCCCUGGGUUUGAUCCUCAGCACCGCA